rnacentral:rRNA from 1 species
UGCCAGUCGCCGCGGUAAUACGGAGGGUGCAAGCGUUGUUCGGAUUUAUUGGGCGUAAAGCGAGUGUAGGCGGUUUAGCAAGUCGGAUGUGAAAUCCCAGGGCCCAACCCUGGAACUGCACCCGAUACUGUUAGGCUAGAGUCCCGGAGAGGAUGGCGGAAUUCCCGGUGUAGGGGUGAAAUCCGUAGAUAUCGGGAGGAACACCAGUGGCGAAGGCGGCUAACUGGCUCGGUACUGACGCUGAGAUGCGAAAGCGUGGGGAGCAAACAGGAUUAGAUA